UACAGAGGUGGCAAGCGUUGUUCGGAAUUACUGGGCGUAAAGGGCGCGUAGGCGGCCUUCUAAGUCAGACGUGAAAUCCCCCGGCUUAACCUGGGAACUGCGUCUGAUACUGGGAGGCUUGAGUAUGGGAGAGGGAAGUAGAAUUCCAGGUGUAGCGGUGAAAUGCGUAGAUAUCUGGAGGAAUACCGGUGGCGAAGGCGGUUCUCUGGGCCGGUACUGACGCUGAGGAGCGAAAGCGUGGGGAGCGAACAGG
rnacentral:rRNA from 1 species